AUACGGAGGAUCCGAGCGUUAUCCGGAUUUAUUGGGUUUAAAGGGUGCGCAGGCGGCCAUUUAAGUCUGCGGUUAAAUCGUGGGGCUCAACCCCAUUCUGCCGUUGAUACUGGGUGGCUUGAUUGCGGUCGAGGUUGGCGGAAUUCGUUGUGGAGCGGUGAAAUGCAUAGAUAUGACGAAGAACACCGAUUGCGUAGGCAGCUGACCAGACCGCAAAUGACGCUCAUGCACGAAAGUGCGGGGAUCGAACAGGAUUAGAUACCCUGGUAGUCCGCACAGUAAACGAUGAAUACUUGUUUUCGGCGAUAUAAUGUCGGAGGCAAAGCGAAAGCGAUAAGUAUUCCACCUGGGGAGUACGCCGGCAACGGUGAAACUCAAAUGAAUUGACGGGG
rnacentral:rRNA from 1 species